UGAACCUCAUAAUGGGUUUCCUUCCAAGC
rnacentral:piRNA from 1 species